UCAUAGCCAAACUUACGCAACUCUUUCAGUCGGCAAAAUAUGUUUUGAGAGAGCAGGUUGAAACUGUUUUUUAGUACGUUUCGCUUUUAAAAAUAAAUAGUGAUGCUGAUAUUAUUUGGCUUAACUUACAUGCUGAUGACAUCGCUGUCUACAUCGCAUGAAAUUGAGGAACCUGGAACAUGUCCUAAACCGACGGGAUUUGGUAUCUGUGCAGAGGCAUGCACCAGUGACUAUGAGUGUCCUAGCAGUCAGAAAUGUUGCCCAAACGGUUGUGGUCAUACAUGUCAGACACCGACACGCGAGUGAGUGAGUGAAUUGGGUUUUACGGCGAAUCGACACAUCAUAAUUCACCAUGAAGAAGUUAUAUUGAAAACAUUAAUUGUAAAGCAUACCUAACAUCAUUUAUAUAAAAAUGUAUAUACAUAUAUAGUGUUAAAAAUUUCAAUUGCAAACAAUAUUGCAAAAGAUGUGAAUAAAAGUAUGAAAUGUU